rnacentral:rRNA from 1 species
UACAGAGGGGGCAAGCGUUGUCCGGAUUCAUUGGGCGUAAAGAGCGUGUAGGCGGCCAGGUAGGUCGGUUGUGAAAACUGGAGGCUCAACCUUCAGAGGUCGACCGAAACCAUCUGGCUAGAGUCCGGGAGAGGAGAGUGGAAUUCCUGGUGUAGCGGUGAAAUGCGCAGAUAUCAGGAGGAACACCGGUGGCGAAGGCGGUUCUCUGGGCAUUACCUGACGCUGAGGAGCGAAAGUGUGGGGAGCGAACAGG